UAUCAACGAACGGAAAUCAUGUGAAAUCCUCUUGACGCUAUUGUUAUUUCAUCGAGGUGCAGCGCAAUCAGUGCACGAUCAUCCUUCAGGUAGCAGUGGAAUUUUAAUAGCGCUUCGUCAGUGUUCACUAUCGACGGGAUCGAAGAUCAAUGUAGAGCUGUGCUGCAAUCCCUCCAUUCGCAUCGUAUUGGU